UACGUAGGAGGCAAGCGUUGUCCGGAAUUACUGGGCGUAAAGCGCGUGUAGGUGGUGGGACAAGUCUGCUGUGAAAGCGCCUGGCUUAACCGGGCCGAGGUCGGCGGAAACUGUUCGACUCGAGGACGGUAGAGGGGGUGGAAUUCCCGGUGGUAGUGGUGAAAUGCGUAGAGAUCGGGAGGAACACCUGUGGCGAAGGCGGCUCACUGGACCACAACUGACGCUGAGGCGCGAAAGCGUGGGGAGCAAACAGG
rnacentral:rRNA from 1 species